rnacentral:rRNA from 1 species
AGAGUUUGAUCCUGGCUCAGAGCGAACGCUGGCGGCAGGCUUAACACAUGCAAGUCGAGCGGGCGUAGCAAUACGUCAGCGGCAGACGGGUGAGUAACGCGUGGGAACGUACCUUUUGGUUCGGAACAACACAGGGAAACUUGUGCUAAUACCGGAUAAGCCCUUACGGGGAAAGAUUUAUCGCCGAAAGAUCGGCCCGCGUCUGAUUAGCUAGUUGGUGAGGUAACGGCUCACCAAGGCGACGAUCAGUAGCUGGUCUGAGAGGAUGAUCAGCCACAUUGGGACUGAGACACGGCCCAAACUCCUACGGGAGGCAGCAGUGGGGAAUAUUGGACAAUGGGCGCAAGCCUGAUCCAGCCAUGCCGCGUGAGUGAUGAAGGCCCUAGGGUUGUAAAGCUCUUUUGUGCGGGAAGAUAAUGACGGUACCGCAAGAAUAAGCCCCGGCUAACUUCGUGCCAGCAGCCGCGGUAAUACGAAGGGGGCUAGCGUUGCUCGGAAUCACUGGGCGUAAAGGGUGCGUAGGCGGGUCUUUAAGUCAGGGGUGAAAUCCUGGAGCUCAACUCCAGAACUGCCUUUGAUACUGAAGAUCUUGAGUUCGGGAGAGGUGAGUGGAACUGCGAGUGUAGAGGUGAAAUUCGUAGAUAUUCGCAAGAACACCAGUGGUGAAAGCGGCUCACUGGCCCGAUACUGACGCUGAGGCACGAAAGCGUGGGGAGCAAACAGGAUUAGAUACCCUGGUAGUCC